rnacentral:rRNA from 1 species
GUACUUAACACAUGCAAGUCGUACGAGGAUCGUCGGGUUAGCAAUAAUUCGCGGUUCGAGUGGCGCACGGGUGAGUAACACGUGGGUAACCCACCCUCGAGACCGGGAUACCCUCUCGAAAGGGAGGCUAAUACUGGAUACGUUCCCCGGGACGCAAGAUCUGGGGAGGAAAGGUGGCGAAAGCUGCCGCUCUUGGAGGGGCUCGCGGCCUAUCAGCUAGUUGGUGAGGUAACGGCUCACCAAGGCUAUGACGGGUAGCUGGUCUGAGAGGACGACCAGCCACACGGGAACUGAGACACGGUCCCG